AGCCAGGGCUACACAGAGAAACCCUGUCUCGAAAAACAAACAAACAAACAAACAAAACACAAAAGAAGAUAAUUUGGCUUUCCUAAGUAGCAAACCUAGUCUAACAAGUUUUUUGUUUUUUUUUUUUUUAAUUGGCUUUCUGUACUUAACUCUUAAUUUUUAUAUAGUGGUACAAACUAAAAUAUGAAGAUCAAGGAAAUAUCUUUCUGCCAAAAUUUUGUUUUAUGCAUUAAUUUGUCUGAAUACAUAGUAGCACUUAUCUGUAGGUGGUCCUGAUGUUACAAAGGAAUUCCAUUCUUUGUUGGAUCAGUUCCAUUGCCCUCCUAGGUGCUGAAGGGGAGAAAGUCCUCUGAAAGCUAACCCCCUUCCAUAGCCCUCCCCAGUCUUGCCUUGAGAGCCCACGGCCCACAGCUCCUCUAGCCUCAGACUGCAGAGAUACAUGUCAAAGGAAAAUAACUUAACCCAGUUCACUUGCCACAACAUUGAAAACAAGAAACAAGUUGAUCUGAUUAAUAUGCACACACAGUAGUCAGAUCCUCACAGUGAUGUUACUUGUUCCAUGAGAGCCCACGGCCCACAGCUCCUCUAGCCUCAGACUGCAGAGAUACAUGUCAAAGGAAAAUAACUUAACCCAGUUCACUUGCCACAACAUUGAAAACAAGAAACAAGUUGAUCUGAUUAAUAUGCACACACAGUAGUCAGAUCCUCACAGUGAUGUUACUUGUUCCAGCCCUCAUUAGCUUGAAGGAUGCUCUUGUUUGAGUCUAAAUCCUGCCAGGACUCAACCCCAAGAUUGGAUUUCCCAGGAGUGCUUGGUCCUUGGUGCGCUGCCAAGGAGCAUUAAAGGGUUCUCUGAUUCCUGAAGGGAUGGAUUCGAUGGAGAUUUAGAACUGAGAGUUCCAAGGGCAAGGACACAAAGGCAAGAGCAUUCUGCCCAUGUGACGGCCUCACCCCCUCCACUGUUUCAUGAGAGAGGGUGCCCAGGUGCUGAUGGAGAAAGGUUUGUCCCUCCCCGUGAUGGGCACAGCUCUGCACCUAGUGUCAAUCCGACCUCAUAGGCAUGUCAGACCGAAAGACCAAGAGGGACAUCUUCUAAGGUUGCAUCAUCUUGGGCAGAUUUUAAAUCAAGAAUUCCAUAUCUGAUUCUAUAACAGUGCCUGAAGUCUGACUCACCAAGCUGGCCACUAUUUUGGAUUUGCCUCCUUAUAUCAGAAGAUUUCCGAUCAAGACAGAUAUUUCACAUUUUCUAUAUCUAGGGCCUUCACGGUAACCUUAAAAGGUUAUAUAAAGCACUCAACAAGGGGCAUUAGGAUGUCCCUGGAGGCAGGAGCUAAAUGUGGGCCAUUUACCUCAGGACCCAGAUCCUUCAGCUCCUGAAUAUGGCUCUCUAGGUGUGGGUCUAAGUAUCCUGGCCAUCUGUUUCUUUGGUUGAAGAUAUCCCCAAUGAAGAUAAAGGAAACUUGCCCUACACUCUUGAAUGGUUUGUAUUUGAGUCUAUUGAAAUAAGCUGACUGGAAAGAUGGCUCAAGUUUAAAAGUUCAGACCCCAGCACCCAUAGAAAAGCUAGAUGUGAUACUGCACAUGCCUCUGACUCCAGCACUGAGUCGGGCAGAGAUGGAGGACUGGUGGGGCUUGAUGUCUGCUAUCAAGCAAACAAUGAGGGAUCCAGGUUCAGGCAGAGCACUUAGAGCCUGAAUGCAUAUGGCCUUGGGUUGGGCCUCAAUCUUUCCCCAGACACACUUAACUUGUUCACAGAAUACCACAGUAGAGAUCCUCUGCCUUCUUGUGGAUUGGAAUCCUAUCAGGCGCCCUCAGGAACCACCCAAUGACAAGAUAGUAACUUCAAACCCCACCAAAGUCUUGCAUGGCAAUCGUAAAGAUGUGGAGAUACGGCUCUCUUUAGAGAACCCCAAGCUGUGUGCGCAGGUGCCCUCUCCUCUCUUCUGAGUGCCUCUCUUUCUCCUAACCUUCACACUUAACUCUAUAUUAAAAUAUCUUUAAUAAAAUCUCCAACUUACCUUCAAGAACUGGCUAUGUCUGAUGUUCUUUACAGCACAGAAGCAAUGGAACCCGAUUUCUCAUCGGUCUAGACCCCCAAAACUCUGGGGGGUGCACCACAUGCUGCUGCAAGCACAGAGCUGGGUCACUGUCCCCUCACAAAUGA